rnacentral:hammerhead_ribozyme from 1 species
AUCUAGCUGACGAGUUCUAAUUAGGACGAAACGCCCGUCGUGGAU